CCUACGGGCGGCAGCAGUGAGGAAUAUUGGUCAAUGGCCGGAAGGCUGAACCAGCCAUGCCGCGUGAAGGUCAGUGCCCUAUGGGCGUUAAACUUCUUUUGUGCGGGAGCAAUAAUGGUCACGUGUGGCCCGACGAGAGUACCGUACGAAUAAGCAUCGGCUAACUCCGUGGCAGCAGCCGCGGUAACACGGGGGAUGCAAGCGUUAUCCGGAUUGAGUGGGUUUAAAGGGUGCGUAGGCUGUGAGGUAAGUCAGCGGUGAAAUGCCCCCGCUCAACGGGGUGAAGUGCCUGUGAUACUGGCUUGCUGGAAUGCGGAUGCGGUGGGAAGAAUGUGUGGUGUAGCGGUGAAAUGCAUAGAGAUCACACAGAACACCGAUUGCGAAGGCAUCUCACGAAUCCGCGAUUGACGCUGAUGCACGAAAGCGUGGGUAUCAAACAGGAUUAGAUACCCCUGUAGUC
rnacentral:rRNA from 1 species